UCCUCCUGUCUAGCUCUCUUGCCGCUGCCCCCUUGGGCCUCGCGACGGAGCUGCUCGAUAGUGCGGGCAUGGUCCACUACAUCCAGAAAUGAGCGGCCCGCUGAGACUAAAGACUGAGUCUCAAUCCGCAACUGUAGUCUCAAACCCCGAACAAAACAACGAACCCUCUCCUCCUCAGUAGGUAAUAUCAUGGCGGCAUGCCUGGAGAGCUCGUGGAAUUGGGACUCAUACUCUGAUACUGUAAUGGAGCCCUGCUCUAACCGAGCAAACUGAUCUCUGAGCUGAUCUCUGAUGCUCCUGGGAAUAAAUCGGGCCAAGAAGGCCUCUGAAAACUCAGUCCAUGUGACCGGUGGAGACCCAGCUGGCCUGGUCUCUAAGUAUGUA
rnacentral:lncRNA from 1 species